UAGUAUCUGUUCUUAUCAGUUUAAUAUCUGAUAUGUCCUCCAGUGGAGGACAACAUAUUAAGCCGAUUUUUGAAAAACGGAUGUGAAGGUGGAGCUUGCUCUUAGUAGACAAGCGCUAUUAAACCGU
rnacentral:snRNA from 1 species